GGGUUGUGAGGUUAAGCGACUAAGCGUACACGGUGGAUGCCCUGGCAGUCAGAGGCGAUGAAGGACGUGCUAAUCUGCGAUAAGCGUCGGUAAGGUGAUAUGAACCGUUAUAACCGGCGAUUUCCGAAUGGGGAAACCCAGUGUGAUUCGUCACACUAUCAUUAACUGAAUCCAUAGGUUAAUGAGGCGAACCGGGGGAACUGAAACAUCUAAGUACCCCGAGGAAAAGAAAUCAACCGAGAUUCCCCCAGUAGCGGCGAGCGAACGGGGAGCAGCCCAGAGCCUGAAUCAGUGUGUGUGUUAGUGGAAGCGUCUGGAAAGGCGUGCGAUACAGGGUGACAGCCCCGUACACAAAAAUGCACAUACUGUGAGCUCGAUGAGUAGGGCGGGACACGUGGUAUCCUGUCUGAAUAUGGGGGGACCAUCCUCCAAGGCUAAAUACUCCUGACUGACCGAUAGUGAACCAGUACCGUGAGGGAAAGGCGAAAAGAACCCCGGCGAGGGGAGUGAAAAAGAACCUGAAACCGUGUACGUACAAGCAGUGGGAGCACGCUUAGGCGUGUGACUGCGUACCUUUUGUAUAAUGGGUCAGCGACUUAUAUUCUGUAGCAAGGUUAACCGAAUAGGGGAGCCGAAGGGAAACCGAGUCUUAACUGGGCGUUAAGUUGCAGGGUAUAGACCCGAAACCCGGUGAUCUAGCCAUGGGCAGGUUGAAGGUUGGGUAACACUAACUGGAGGACCGAACCGACUAAUGUUGAAAAAUUAGCGGAUGACUUGUGGCUGGGGGUGAAAGGCCAAUCAAACCGGGAGAUAGCUGGUUCUCCCCGAAAGCUAUUUAGGUAGCGCCUCGUGAAUUCAUCUCCGGGGGUAGAGCACUGUUUCGGCAAGGGGGUCAUCCCGACUUACCAACCCGAUGCAAACUGCGAAUACCGGAGAAUGUUAUCACGGGAGACACACGGCGGGUGCUAACGUCCGUCGUGAAGAGGGAAACAACCCAGACCGCCAGCUAAGGUCCCAAAGUCAUGGUUAAGUGGGAAACGAUGUGGGAAGGCCCAGACAGCCAGGAUGUUGGCUUAGAAGCAGCCAUCAUUUAAAGAAAGCGUAAUAGCUCACUGGUCGAGUCGGCCUGCGCGGAAGAUGUAACGGGGCUAAACCAUGCACCGAAGCUGCGGCAGCGACGCUUAUGCGUUGUUGGGUAGGGGAGCGUUCUGUAAGCCUGCGAAGGUGUGCUGUGAGGCAUGCUGGAGGUAUCAGAAGUGCGAAUGCUGACAUAAGUAACGAUAAAGCGGGUGAAAAGCCCGCUCGCCGGAAGACCAAGGGUUCCUGUCCAACGUUAAUCGGGGCAGGGUGAGUCGACCCCUAAGGCGAGGCCGAAAGGCGUAGUCGAUGGGAAACAGGUUAAUAUUCCUGUACUUGGUGUUACUGCGAAGGGGGGACGGAGAAGGCUAUGUUGGCCGGGCGACGGUUGUCCCGGUUUAAGCGUGUAGGCUGGUUUUCCAGGCAAAUCCGGAAAACUAAGGCUGAGGCGUGAUGACGAGGCACUACGGUGCUGAAGCAACAAAUGCCCUGCUUCCAGGAAAAGCCUCUAAGCAUCAGGUAACAUCAAAUCGUACCCCAAACCGACACAGGUGGUCAGGUAGAGAAUACCAAGGCGCUUGAGAGAACUCGGGUGAAGGAACUAGGCAAAAUGGUGCCGUAACUUCGGGAGAAGGCACGCUGAUAUGUAGGUGAAGUCCCUCGCGGAUGGAGCUGAAAUCAGUCGAAGAUACCAGCUGGCUGCAACUGUUUAUUAAAAACACAGCACUGUGCAAACACGAAAGUGGACGUAUACGGUGUGACGCCUGCCCGGUGCCGGAAGGUUAAUUGAUGGGGUUAGCGCAAGCGAAGCUCUUGAUCGAAGCCCCGGUAAACGGCGGCCGUAACUAUAACGGUCCUAAGGUAGCGAAAUUCCUUGUCGGGUAAGUUCCGACCUGCACGAAUGGCGUAAUGAUGGCCAGGCUGUCUCCACCCGAGACUCAGUGAAAUUGAACUCGCUGUGAAGAUGCAGUGUACCCGCGGCAAGACGGAAAGACCCCGUGAACCUUUACUAUAGCUUGACACUGAACAUUGAGCCUUGAUGUGUAGGAUAGGUGGGAGGCUUGGAAGUGUGGACGCCAGUCUGCAUGGAGCCGACCUUGAAAUACCACCCUUUAAUGUUUGAUGUUCUAACGUUGACCCGUAAUCCGGGUUGCGGACAGUGUCUGGUGGGUAGUUUGACUGGGGCGGUCUCCUCCUAAAGAGUAACGGAGGAGCACGAAGGUUGGCUAAUCCUGGUCGGACAUCAGGAGGUUAGUGCAAUGGCAUAAGCCAGCUUGACUGCGAGCGUGACGGCGCGAGCAGGUGCGAAAGCAGGUCAUAGUGAUCCGGUGGUUCUGAAUGGAAGGGCCAUCGCUCAACGGAUAAAAGGUACUCCGGGGAUAACAGGCUGAUACCGCCCAAGAGUUCAUAUCGACGGCGGUGUUUGGCACCUCGAUGUCGGCUCAUCACAUCCUGGGGCUGAAGUAGGUCCCAAGGGUAUGGCUGUUCGCCAUUUAAAGUGGUACGCGAGCUGGGUUUAGAACGUCGUGAGACAGUUCGGUCCCUAUCUGCCGUGGGCGCUGGAGAAUUGAGGGGGGCUGCUCCUAGUACGAGAGGACCGGAGUGGACGCAUCACUGGUGUUCGGGUUGUCAUGCCAAUGGCACUGCCCGGUAGCUAAAUGCGGAAGAGAUAAGUGCUGAAAGCAUCUAAGCACGAAACUUGCCCCGAGAUGAGUUCUCCCUGACUCCUUGAGAGUCCUGAAGGAACGUUGAAGACGACGACGUUGAUAGGCUGGGUGUGUAAGCGCAGCGAUGCGUUGAGCUAACCGGUACUAAUGAACCGUGAGGCUUAACCUUACAACGCCGAAGGUGUUU
rnacentral:rRNA from 1 species